AACCUUUAGCCAAACAAGCAUUAAAGGCAACACCUGCCCAGUGAACAAUUAAACGGCCGCGGUACCCUAACCGUGCAAAGGUAGCGUAAUCACUUGUCUAUUAAUUGUAGACCUGUAUGAAAGGUAGCAUGAGGGCCCAACUGUCUCUUAUAAUAAAUCAAUUAAACUGAUCUACCAGUACAAAAGCUGGUAUGCAAUCAUAAGACCAGAAGACCCUGUGAAGCUUAAACUAACCCAUUAAACCCAAUAAUGACUACUUUCGGUUGGGGCGACCUUGGAAAAAAAAAGAACUUCCAACUAACAACUUAAACCUACAUGGCUGACAAGCCCACACAGACCCAGCACAGCUGAUUAUUGAACCAAGUUACUCCAGGGAUAACAGCGCCAUCUUCUUCAAGAGCCCAUAUCAAAAAGAAGGUUUACGACCUCGAUGUUGGAUCAGGACAUCCUAAUGGUGCAGCCGCUAUUAAGGGUUCGUUUGUUCAACGAUUAACAGUCCU
rnacentral:rRNA from 1 species